AUUGAACGCUGGCGGCGUGCCUAACACAUGCAAGUCGAGCGAUUCACUUCGGUGAAGAGCGGCGGACGGGUGAGUAACGCGUGGGUAACCUGCCUCAUACACAUGGAUAACAUACCGAAAGGUAUGCUAAUACAAGAUGAUAUAAGAGAUUCGCAUGGAUUUCUUAUCAAAGCUCCGGCGGUAUGAGAUGGACCCGCGUCUGAUUAGCUAGUUGGUAAGGUAACGGCUUACCAAGGCGACGAUCAGUAGCCAACCUGAGAGGGUGAUCGGCCACAUUGGAACUGAGACACGGUCCAAACUCCUACGGGAGGCAGCAGUGGGGAAUAUUGCACAAUGGGCGAAGGCCUGAUGCAGCAACGCCGCGUGAGCGAUGAAGGCCUUCGGGUCGUAAAGCUCUGUCCUCAAGGAAGAUAAUGACGGUACUUGAGGAGGAAGCCCCGGCUAACUACGUGCCAGCCGCCGCGGUAAGAC
rnacentral:rRNA from 1 species